GUUUUUUUCGUUAGUAGACCAACAACAGAAGAAACUGGAAAGAAAAAACAACUGAGAAAUGAACGAGCGAUGGAGCGGCUGACGUGGGUAAAGCAAGCGGCCGAAGCUAGGCGAAGCGAGCUAGCUUAAGUUUUGGGUUGUGUCUGUUGGCAUCAGUGCAAGCAUCGGUUUGGCUCCCUAGCACUGGGAGGAGGUCUCAGCAGGAGGACUCAGUUAGUCCAGCCAUAGAAAUAGAAAGGUUGCAUUUGAAAGAACUAUAGAAUAAACCAUUUCUCUAGGUCCAGGCCCGCAAGCUGAAGGAAACAAAUGUUGAAGAUUCCCUUCUUUUUGUGGGCUAACCCGCAUCACCAUCUCCCACACAAUGCAAAACACAACCCUAACCAAGCAAUAAACUCACAUAACCCAUCAACCCGCAUGCGGGGCCUAUAUCUUGCUUAUACCGAGAUGUAUGCUCUCGUCGCCUGGGGCACGGCGCGACCAGGUCGGCACAAUACUAUAGCAUGUAGUGAGUUUUUUUUUUCAUUUUUCCGGUUUCAUUGGUUUCAACCCACUUUUUUCUGUAUGGGUUUCUUUGUCCAGUUUACACUGUUGGGGUGCUGUUUUCUUUUGUUUUUAGUUUAGUUUUCUUGUUUCUUCUUCGGUUUUCUUUCUUUCAUCAUUAUACUUUAUUUUGUUUUUUCUUUUUUUCUUAGGUUUUUUGUUUCUUUCUUGGUUUUCAACGGUAUUUGCCUUUUCUUUGUUUCUUUAUCGGCUUUCAUUGUUUUCCCAUUCUUUUUGCGCUUGUUUCUUCAUUUUUCAUUUUUCUUUGCUUUCUUUUGUUUCUUUUUUGGUUUUUUAGUUUUUUUGGUUUUCAUUCUACAUUUUCUUAUACAUUAAGAAUAUUUUUCAAUACACAUUUAACAUUUCUCAAAUAUGACUUUAACAUUUUUUAAUACAUUGUUAGCAUUUUUUCUAUGCAUAUUUUAAACAUUUUUAUAUGCUGGAUUAACCUUUUAAAAAAUCGAGUACAUCGUCAACAUUUCUUUCAUACACAUUUUAACAUUCUCAAACACUAGAUUAAUAUUUCUUGAAUACAUGAUUAAGAUUUUGUUAAUACAUGGUCAACAUUAUUUCUAUACACAUUAAAAAAAUCUUGAUUAAGAUUUUGCAAUUAGUUUUUUUCAAAUGCUUGAUUAACAUUUGCUUAGUACAUGAUCAACUUUUUCACACACAUUGUAUAUUGUUUGUUUAGGUUAUUUAAUACAUGGUGCACUUUUUUUCUGUACAUAUUUUUUAACAUUCUACAAAUGCUUGAUUAACAUUUUUCAAAUACAAUUUUAACAUUGCUUGAAUACAUGGUCAACAUUUUUCUCUAGAGACAUAUUUAAAAUUUUCAAAUUCUUGAUUAAAAAAUUUCAAAUACAAGUUUGAUAUUUUUGGAAUACAUGGUCAGCAUUUUUUAUACCACAAAAGCUACAUGUCAAUCGCCUGACUUUCGAAGUUGGUGUCAGUCGAUUUUUGGUUCAACGGAGAAAUAGCCGGAGGGGGAGGAAGAACUCGCCGGAGAGGAGGAAGAGCCUCGCUGGGCAGGCUACCCCACCAUCUAUCUUAGGGUGGGGUGUGGGGGAGGCAACACGAGGUUGUGGAGCGGCGGCAGCGGGCGGUGGUGAAGGUUUGCCGAAGAAAAAACCGGCGAGGUCCGGGCCUAGAGGGAUGGCCGGGGCGGUGGCAGCACAGCGGUGGGAGGAGGUUCCGAGGAGGGCAGGGCGGUGAGGCUACGCGGUAGCGCCGCCGGCCACGGGCGGUGGUGGCCGGCGGUUCGACCGUUGGUCCGUGGGGCUGUUGGAAGAAGAUUCGCCGGGAGGUUGGAGAUGAACUGGCAGCCGUUAGAUUGGAGAUUGAGGGUGGAUAGCAGUCGACUGAUCCAAAUCGGGGAAUUCAGUCGACUGGCACCCAGCCAGUCCCUUUUUAUACACAUGUAACAUUUUUCAAAUGCGUGAUUAACAUUUUUCAAAUACUUGUUUAACAUUUUUUUAAUGUAUGAUUAACAUUUUUUAAUACAUAAUUUUAUUUUUUCCCACACAUUGUAUAUUUUUUUUUACACAUUUUCGAAUACAUGGGAAAGAAUUCUUUAUACAUAUUUAACAUUUUUAUAAUGCUUGGUUAAUAGUUUUUCAAAUUAUUUUAUAUAAAGUGUUUUUUGUCAUUUAGAAUAUUGAAAGUAUGAACUAAAAUGAAAAAUAUUACGGAAAAACUGAAAAAAGAAACCGUGAAAAAGACGAGCCUGUGGCCUCCCGCGGGUCCGGUCCGGCCCCUUUAUGUAGGCCCCUGACGCGAGAACACUCUAAGUCUUGCUAUAAGCCAGACAUAGAGCUUCCCUCAACCCACGUGCAUACAUUCCAAAUAGCAUGGCCUUUUUAGGUAUCUCCCUCCGUCCUCUAGAUAUAUCCAUUUUCCGAUGAGUAUUUCCGGACGGAGGGAGUAUGUCAUUAGUGUGGCAUGCCCCGAACGUGCUUGUCCCCAGCGACAACAUGCCUGGCCAAGGCUCUGAGGAUGCAUGAAAAAGAAGUGCCCUCAAAGUCCGAAAAUUGCCAAAAGAGCUCUGGCUCCAUCUGGUCCUAUUUUUGGAAUUUUCAAAAAUCAUUUUUCAAUUUUCAAAAAUUCUAGCACAUGUAUAUAGGGAUGUAUACUGCAUAUCUGUAAAUUUUCAUGAUAAAGUACGUUCUUAUGUGAACUAUAUAAAAAAAUCAUAAUUCACGGUAAAAGUUCAUGUUUUUUUAUAGACCACAUAAAAAUGUAUUUCAUCAGAAAAAUUACUUAGAUGAAGUACACAUCGCUAUGUACAUGUGUAUUCUUUCACAAAAAAAAUCAAAAUUUCAAGCUCCAUGGAGCUCAUGAUCCAAAAAUCCACUCUACACCACUAGGUUGUUGCAAAGAAAAAAAGUUACGGCGGAAAUACAUUAAACUUGGUAUCUUACUCCAUCCGCCUCACCACCAACCGCGUUGGUGGUUAGAGUGUAAGUAGUGUUUACUUUUGAGUAUUAUUCACGCACAUCUUGUAAACAAAAAUUCCGUGAUAAAAGUGAAACGAAGUGUCUAAAAAAUGGCCGAACAAACCCAUAAACCUUGGAAGUUAGAGCAUUUCUAGCAGACCCCUUAAAUCGCGCCGACCCGCGAAAUAGCCGUCAGUUUACGGUUUUACGCGAAAAAAGUGGCCCGAACAGACAUCGUAUACGCGCUUGACCCUUAAAUUUUUUUGAGGGGCGUGGUAAAUUGCCCCUAUCGACCCGCGAAAACACAACCCCCCACCCCGUCGGUGCCCUGUAUCUCGCGAAAGCGGUUUGCGGGAGGGACAUUUUAGGCCGCGCGUGUUCCUCACCCCCAUCCCACAGCCACCCGGCACCGUCGCCGCCCAUCCACUGCCUUCGAUUUCAGCCAUAUCCGCCAAUGGAAUCACACCGCCGGGCCGCUCCAGGCUUGGGUCCACCGCGCCACUUCGCCGGUGCCCCGAAUCCACCGAGCCGAGCCACCUGGGUUGCCGCCGACCCGGAUCGACCUGUCGCCGAGUCGCCACCCGCCCCAAAUUCACCGAGCCGAGCCGUCCCCGAGUCGCCCCGGAUCGACAGGCCGCCGGUGAGUCCUUUUCUGCCCGUUCUAGUUCGACUUAGCGAACAAUUUGUAGAUGAAUUUCCGUUCAUGCGAGCUCGGGUGCGAUUUGUAGAUGUAUUUGAGCCCUUGCGAGGAACUUUUGCUCGGGUAUUCGUCCUCGUGCAACGACCCGGACGUAGAGUCACUGCUCGAAAGCCAUCGGCAGCAGAUGGUAGUGGUGGUCCUCGCCGUGAAGGAGCUCGAGGAUCGGAACCGAAAAAGACGGCGAGGAUCGACCGCCGGCUGUCUUUACAUCCCUCGUAACCGCCAUCUCGGAUACAUGAUGUUUGAAUUCAGGACAAAUCUUGUAUUGAAUUAUUAGUUUAAGGGGCAUACCUUGCGCUUUGUACCAUGACGGCCAGGGGACGGAUUGAUGAUGGACAGCAGGACUCCAUUGGGUGGGCGUAGGAGACUGGUGGCCGCUACUCGACUAGUUCAUCCUACCAUGCCAAGUUCUGGGGUAGAGAGGUGGUGCCGGCGGCUGAUUUCACGUGGAAGUCCAAGGCCCCCCUACAAUAUAGGUUCUUCACUUGUUUGGUGCUCAGGAAUAGGUGAUGGACUUCAGAUCGCCUAGCAUGACGUGGAUUUGAUCACCAAAAGGCGUGCCCGCUCUGCGAUCAAGAGGAGAAAACCAUACAACACCUCCUGCUUGACUGCGUGUUUGCAUGGGAAAUAUGGAGCGUGGUCUACCGAGCCAUGGGUAAGCAGGAACGGACCCCAACUGGGAGGUUGACCCUCUCGGAGUGGUACCAUGACAAGAUCGGGACGAGUCACAACAAGAAAGAUACAUGAGCAAUCAUUAUUGUUGUCUUAUAGAAACAUCGGAACUCGAUCGUGUUCAACGGGGCAACACCGUCAAGAGACCAUGUAAUCUCUAGAUUAGAAGGAGAGGGUAGAACAUGGAAGUUAGUUUGGAUCCUUAGAGGAUGGGUAGAUGCCUUCCUCGGGGCGUUCACGAGUGAGCUAUCGCGACUAGAUACGGCUUAGGAAUUUCGGUGGACUUAGGUGGAGUUGGGUUCAUGUGAUAUGCAACACCAACGUGAAGAGGCUCUUUCCCCAUCUUUUUUAAUACAAAAGUAAAGACUCGUGCAUAUUCGAAAAAAAUAGCUUCAUUCAUGAAAGUAGAAAUAGAAAUUUUGAAACAUAUACUCCCUCCUUCUCAUAAUAUAAGAACGUUUUUGACACAUUAUNNNNNNNNNNNNNNNNNNNNNNNNNNNNNNNNNNNNNNNNNNNNNNNNNNNNNNNNNNNNNNNNNNNNNNNNNNNNNNNNNNNNNNNNNNNNNNNNNNNNNNNNNNNNNNNNNNNNNNNNNNNNNNNNNNNNNNNNNNNNNNNNNNNNNNNNNNNNNNNNNNNNNNNNNNNNNNNNNNNNNNNNNNNNNNNNNNNNNNNNNNNNNNNNNNNNNNNNNNNNNNNNNNNNNNNNNNNNNNNNNNNNNNNNNNNNNNNNNNNNNNNNNNNNNNNNNNNNNNNNNNNNNNNNNNNNNNNNNNNNNNNNNNNNNNNNNNNNNNNNNNNNNNNNNNNNAACCCUAGUCGCGCCGCCGCCAGGCCCUACCGCUCCUCCUCCCCCCGCAUCGCCGCCGCCGGAGGGGACGCCGGCGAAGCCCGUGCGUGCCCGGUGAAGGUGGCGGCGGGGCUUUCGUUCUGCAUUCGAUUGCGCCGCGACCCGGGCGGAUCGGCCACCCGUGGGGGCGGGGCGCGGUCUUCCCAUCCUGGCGGCGGCUUCUCCUGGCGUCGGCGUUCUGCUCGUCUCCGGCAGCUCCGUGCGUCUCGUGGUGGAGGGCGUGCUGCGGCGGGCGCGUAUGGGCGGCUGGGAGGACCAGAUCUGGUUGGCCUGCUCCCCGCGCGCUCAGGUGGGGGCGGCACCUGGGGCUCUCUCCGGCUGCAGGGGCGCGGUGCCGGGCUGGCGACCUCCGGUGGUGCUGUCCAGGGUGAGCAUCGGAGGCGCUCGGCUCGUUGGCUCUGGUUCGUGUGGGCUGGUUCCAAGUCCGGCGAGUUAGGCUGAGGAGGUGGAUCUGGGGGUGAAAGUCGGUGGUGGAGUUGUGGCGGCCAGGCUAGAUCUUCCCUCCUGUCGGCGCCGGUGCUCGAGGUGAGCAGCUAUGUCAAUGGAGGUGCAGCCCGCAGUCGGCGGUGAGGACGCUCGCCGCGGAGUUGCUGGAUGUUGGGAGGUCUCGCGCUCCUAUGCUUGCCGGACAAAACGACCAACGUAUGCGGAGAGGUCAGGCCUGUGAUGCUUGAGGCGAAAGCCUUGUGCCGGCCUUGCCGGCAUCGAUGAUGGCGACGCCUUCCGGCGCCGUUUUCCUCCUUGGAGGCGUCAUUGUCAAGCUCCGCCUUGUGUCCUCUAAUGUGCCCCGGGCGAAAGCCUAGAUCCAUCUGUGGAUCAGACAUCGACAAGGUCUUUGACAUCGUUACCCCCUUGGGGGCGUUGUCUUUGGAGCCAUUGAGCUACUAUGGUUUGUUUGUUGUCUCGGCUCGAGUGCGGUAGGUCUGUUGGUGUGUGGUUGGGCUGAUGGAUUGUUUGGUGGUGGUGGUGGAAGUGAAUUGUGGCGGCGUUCUUUGCCUUGGUCAUCCUGGUGCUAUUGGUCGAUCUCUCUCUUUGGGGCUUGUGGCGGCGGUGAGGUCUCGGAUUUUGGCGCCCUUCGACGACGCUUGAGGUUUGGUUCCCUCGCAUAGUGCUUUGGUUCCCUCGCAUAGUGCUUUGGUUCCCUCUAUUUGUGAUGGUGGCCGUGGUGUGGCCCAGAGGAGGUGCGGGGCUGUCUCGGCGGAACAUUGCCCUUCGUCACGGUCUGUGGCUUUCUCCGUCGCGUCGUGGCUAGGCAUUGGGAAGCCCUUCGACGGUGGUUGUGACUCUCCUAGUUCUUCAAGGUGCUGAGUGAACGCAAGGUAGCAGGCGGCUUCUUCUCUUGGUCUUCUCGGUGUUGAUUCUUCUUUCGACUGAUCCAACAAUGCUAGUUUCGCUCUUCUUGGUCUGCCUAGUGGUGAUGGGUGCUAAGUUCUUGGUUUUGGCUGCUUGUCGUAGCUCAUUUUCUGGUUCUCCUCUGUUGUACCUCGGUGCUUCUUGUGUGUGUUGGGUGCUGCAGUUGUGUAGCCGUUGUGUUGUAUCUCAGUCUUACUUAUGAUAAUGAAAAUGGUUCAGGCUGGCGUAAGCCCGCCGUAGCUCCGUCAAAAAAAACAUUAUGGGAUGGAGGGAGUAGUUUAGAAAUUUUUUCUCUAUCUCUAGAUUUGGGGAGACAUGAUCGGCUGCGAGCACGCCCAGUUUUCAAAACAUUUUCCUAAACACGCCCAGUUGGCAAAGCCCUACGCGUCCAGGCCGCGAAGGAAAGCAUUUUUUUCCUAAACACGGGCAGAAAUGAACAACGGAGCCCGGCAGGCAGCAUCAGCAUCUCUCGGACGGAUCCACGGGAGGCAUGGGAGAGGGAAAGGAGAUACGUACCGGCCGGCGUCGGCGAGCGGCAGGCCUCGUGUCCAGGGCGAAGUGGCUCUCCAGCCGAGCCCCAGCCACGCUCACGCCGCCACCUCGGUCUCCACGGCGACAGCGCGCGCGGCACCAAACCUACAUGCACGCGCGCCUUCCUCGAUCCGGCCGGCGAACCAUCACGGUCCGGCACGCGUACGUGCGUCUCCACCGAUUCCCGCCGUCCGGUUCUCUCUUUUUUAACCGCGGCACCUCUGUACGGACCUAGGCGAUGCGCGCCGUGCCGUGCCGUGCCGUCCUCGGGUGAAAGAACGGCGGUGGGGAAGGUACGUGUCCCCAUGGGCGAUCGACAUGCAUGCCUCCGCCCUCAAACCGCGUCCCGUAGACGAGAAGCUUUUAGUCCGAGCGGCGAAUGGCCGGGCUAGCUCUAGGCGCAAGGUGCUUUGCCAACGAAAAAAUGUCUAUGCUACGACGCGCCAUGGUGACCUUUUUCUCUGUAGCCCGGCACCCAUUUUCGGCACUACUAAUAAUUGCCUAAUUGGUACUCCCUCCGUACCAUAAUAUAAAAACGUUUUUUACACUAAUGUAGUGUUAAAAAUGUUUUUAUAUUUUGAGACAGAGGAAGUACCAUUAGUGUAAAAAACGUUCUUAUAUUAUGGGACGGAGGGAGUUCUUAAUUUUUGACACUACGAGGACAGUUCUUUUUCGAAUUAGAUGCACACAAUAUUAGACUUUUAUUAGUUCCGCCCUUGAUCUACGGGUUGCCAUGGACGUCGAAGAGUCUAUGAGGGUUCCUCUCUUCAGAUCUCAUGGUUACGGUUGGCGGCUUAUACUGACGCGGUUGCGAGAUGGAACUGAAAGGCUUCGAUGUGAGUUUCAACGGCUCUAACUCCGGCCGGUUAGCCUUCGAUGGGGUGAUGUAAUCUAUGGUUACUUUCAAAAAAUAUAUAUUUUUUACUUAAAAAAAGAUGCAAUCUAGGCACCCGGCUUAACGCAAAGAGUAUGAUAGUGCAUCGGUGCAGUAGGAUUUCUGGAUCAAUGCAUUUAGCUAUUGGGAUCAUGAAAAGUUAUGAUGACAACACUUGGUUGACUUUUUGAUUUGGUGGUGCUAAGUGAAAAUCUUAGGUAUGAACCGCCUUGCAAUGAUGAAGUUUUUACGUACUAAUCUUGUUGAAGUCAUUGGUCGGAUAUGCUUGGACUUAUUCUUUAGGGCGAAAACCUAGAACCUACCCUUUCAUGAUUUUACAACUGCAACACUUGAGCGUUGUUCUUUUCAUCAAGGUGUUACUGCUAAAAACUUUUCUCAUCGUUCUUGUUGUAUCAAAAGAUUGUUGGUGUGAAUAUGGUUGUUGUUGUAGUUUGUCAAUCAUGAUGGCUUUAGUUUUCUUUUUCCUUUAUGGUUUAGGCACAUUUUGGGUCUUAUAUGUUUUUGCCAUUUACCCGCAUGUCUAUGGGCCUGUUUGGUUGCCGUAUGAGCUGGGCCUGACUAGCUCAGUCAGGCUCAACGGAGCCUAGUUGAAGGAAAACUGGCAAAAUAUCGACAUCUGCACAUUGUUUGGUUGUCCGCAUCUAGCCCUCUCGCAUUAGGGGACCAAUUUUGCCUUAGCGUUUGGUUGACUGCAUUGACUCGGCUCACGCAACUACACGGUGUCUGGUUCCAUGCAACAACUGUUGUCUGGUAACCUCUUCGGCGAGGUGGUGAGGUUACUAGUGCACAACGACUUGAAGAAAAAAAAUAUACACACACAACAGAAGAUAGUUGUAAACCAUAACUAAUCAUAGUUUAAAUAAAGUGCAACACUUAAACAUAUCAGUUCAAAUGGAAAGCAGUACGAUAAGAAACUAAACCAGUUGGAGCAUAAGAAGGGCAGUCCUAGACGUUGAGGGCGAAGGCGUAGUCAUGCUUACCGCACUUGGUCACCACUUCAAUGCCUUCGUCGUCGAAGACGAUGACCUUGAGCGUGUCCGAAGUGAGCAGCUUGAACGUCACCAUGUAGCUGAUCCUGAUCUGAUGGACAGCGGCGAAGGGGGGCCAACCCUGAUCGAGGGUCACCCUAUCGUCCAUCAACCGGACAGUCACCCUUCACGAGUAGCCGGUGUUGGUCCUCAGUUUGAACUCUUGCGGCACCAUCGGGAAGUGUUUGGUGAAGUCUAGAGGCAUCAGGAUGCACUCAAGCUGAGGGCAAGGAUCACCUUGCAAAAGUGGGUUAGACCUCCCUCCUCUUGGUAGUGGCCGUAGUUACGACGCUUUCCGCUAGGGGGCUCAUCCGACACCACGUCCUCAUCCAUGGCCACCUCCUCAGGCAUGGUCGGCCCAACCUCCAUGGGCGGCACGACCUCCUUGCCCUUCUCCAUGGGCGGCACCACCUCCUUGCCCUUGUUGUCUGUGUCGAUCUGCAUUACGAAGGGCGCACAUUAUGAAGAGCACAAAAGUUCAGAGGUUGAUCACCAUUAAAACCUAUCGUCCAUAACCCCUUAAUUUACCCAUCCUCACGGUCACUACUUACCCACCAUCUCACUCAGUCAUCUCUCUGUCUCUCACUCUUCCUACUAUCGACAGCCAUGAACUCCAGCAGCAACUCCAACCCCAUCCCCAACCCCUUCCCUUGGGGCAUUGGAUGGAGGGAUUUCUUUCUCGGGUGCUCGCCCGGUGACCGCACCAAGUUCGAGAACACCAUGGAAGUCUGCUCCAAAUUCACCAGCAUGGCAGACAUGCAGAAAGAGUCGGACGCGGUGGUGAAGAAGGCGGCACCGGAGGAGUUGAAGACGUUGAUUCCUGACCCAGCGAAGGGCGCUUUGUCAGUCAAAAUCCUUCGCUGGGCCAUGAAUCAGGCCGACUCCGGCGACGCUCGACAGAGGUCAAGGUGGGCCAAGUACAGAGAGUACAGGCGUCCUCAUGACCAUCAUGUCGCUGCGUACUUCACGACAAGGAUUGUGGUGGCGGUGGAGGAGGGACAAGAAGCGGUGGCCAGGGAGGUGGAAGAAGAAGUUGCAAUGACGAUGAUUGUAAGGGCGACGAAGCCAGAGCGUCGAAGCAUGCCGGUCGACCUGGACUCCGGCGAGGAAGAAGAGACGGUGGUGCAGCCCGAGGAGAAAAACAUGGGCAAUGGCACCCGCCGCUCCAAGCGCCUCGAGGGUCGCUAAGGCUAAGAUCUAUGACUACCGUGUAAGAUUUACCCCCCAAUACUGCCUCACCAUUGUACUCAAUCCUGACCGGUAACCUCAAAUCUAUCGGUACUACGAACUCAUGACGAUGUUAUGAUCAUUCCUAUGGCAAAUUACACCGAUUCCCCAUUCCCCUAACACGGGUCGAACCUAAAUGCGGAUCGAAUGCGAAUGAAUACGUGAGGAGGUGAAAAAAAAAUGCUUACUGCCAUUGCCGUGCCGGAGGUGAUGAUGCGGAUGCCGGCGUAGGGGGCGGAUGUCGCCUUGCUGUUCUCCGAUCUGCUUCAUGUCGCCACCGUCGGUGAGAGUGGGGAUAUGGGAGAGGGGAGAGGGGGCGGUGAGGGUAAUAACUGUCGGCGCUUCGGGAAGCAACGCGGCUUCAUGAGUGUGGCUCGGCGCGUGCAGUCCCUGCCGCCCACGUGUAUCUCACGGCCUGGCUCUGGAGAAACUGCCGAUUCAAGCGUUCACGGCGAGACAGCCCCAGAGCUGCUUUAAAGUUCAUGCGAUGCAGGCCCAAUAAUGUAUGCGCGCAACCAAACGGGUCACAAAUUCCCCGUGCGGGCCUGGUUGAGGGAAAUGCAAGCAACCAAACACGUCUUAUAUGUACUUCAUCUGUUUUAAAAUAUAGGUCGUUUUAGCAAGGUGUUUUAGCUUGCUAAAAUGACUUAUAUUGUGAAACAGAGGGAGUAGUAUGUUGAUGUUGAUUUUGUGUAUUCUACCUAUACGAUGCCGGACCUCGUGAUGCUUUGUUUUGAACCAAUAAAAUCCGUCCUCUAUCGGAACGAAAGUGGGCUUGCACUUCGCCUGGCAGGUGUAAUAGACGCUGUGUACACUGUACCCGGCCGGCAGAUCGACGGCGUACGUAGCAUCAAGCAGUUCUUCUACGUAUCCGGAGAACACUGAGGGAUCAUUCGCAGAAAGAAAGAAAAGCUAAUGACCAUGUGCCACACUGCUGCGCGUCUGAAAAGGCAACGUUCCCGAAGCAGCAGCCGGGGCGCGCGUCAAAGGCUCAAAGCUUGUUCCCAGGCAAGGAAAAACCGGUGGUCAAAAGCCUAAUCACCGUUGUGAUGGCGCUGGACUCUUGUUCCCACGGAGGCUGCAGUGCCCCAGGCGAUCCAUGUGAUCCCCGCUUUCGAUCCAUGAACCCUUUUGGUUCGGCCUUGGACUUGGACUCUUGGUAGCGUACACUCGUACAGCAAGUUGCAAAGCUUAUUCUUUUGCAAUUUGUUGCAAAGCUGGACCAGUGUGAAUCGUGCUGCAGCAGUGCAGUGCUCGCGCUCCUCUCGGUGGUUUCGCGGUAAAUGCAGUAAAAAGUACUACUAGUACUAGCAGCAGCGUUAACUACUCCUCAGACCGAGUUACCUACUUGCUAGUUCUGAUAUAGGACUAGGAGAUUUCUCAGCCUGAAACUCUUGAAAAAUGAAAAUGUCAUUUAUGCUACACUCACCGGCUGGGAGGUUUAAUAGUAUGCCCUCUGUAAAAAAAUAUAAAAGCAUUUAGAUUCCUAACUAGACAUUGUUAUAUUUCUUUACGGAACGAGUAGUAUGUAGAAUAGUGUUGUGGUGCACUUUCAUGCCCUGUCGUCAAGGGGCUCGAAGUGAGUGUAGCAUAAAUCAACGAAAGUGCUCUUUUGAUCCCGAGCUCAUAUGCUUCCGCAUGAACAGUAAAAUUCAAAGAAAAAAAGUAAAUUUUUUAAAAAAAAAUCUGAUUUCUUUUAUGAUGAACACUGAUGAAUGUUCUAAGUGUGUGCAAAAUUUCAGGUCGAAAUAACAUUCGUGGAGGUCUGGGCAAAAAUAACAAUAUCGAUGCUCCAAAAUGCUUUCAACAAUAGUCUUUUUGGACGUUUUAAUUUUUUUGCACAGACCUCCACAAAUGUCAUUUCAACCUGAAAUUUUACCGAAAAAGGCUUUCGCCCCGCUUUAUAAAUAAAGCAACCGCCACAGAGCAUACAUACCACAUAGGUCCACGCCCACACACACAAGUCUCACAACACAGACCAUAGGUUCUGCUGAGGGCACAGCUCAACAAGCCCAAAAAAGAGGAGAAAACACAACACUAGCACAGCACACCCAACACGAGGGGCUAAUCAGGCUCCGGCGGAGGCGGCGGAGAGAGGCGGACGGCCAUCGAUCGGAUGUCGGCGAUGAAGGCGGAGAUGGCGUCACGGUCCGGGGGGCGACUAAGCGGCCGCCAAAGCUGCAAGAAACCCGAGAAUUUGUAGAGGGCGUCAGUAGAGCGACGGAGGGGAGCGUGCUGGAUCACAAGUUUAUUGCGAACGGUCCACAGCGUCCAGGCCAGCACCCCAACUUGAAGCCACCUAAUGUGGCGCGUGGACGCGGGGGACAGUUGGAGUUCAUCAAAUAGGUCCGGGAAAUUGGUGUGGCACCAAGUCCCGCCGACGACUUCGCGAAAGCAGCUCCAGAGGAAUUGGGUGGAGACGCAAGAGAAGAAGAUGUGGUUCGAGUCCUCCGGGACGCCAUAGAGCGGGCAGAUACCAGUGCCCGGGUCAUUGCGCUUGCGGACCUCCACGCCAGAAGGGAGCCUACCACGGAUCCAUUGCCACAUGAAAAUGCGAAUCUUCAGUGGCACACGAACGGACCAGACCAUAGAUAAGGGAAGAGGAGCGGAGGAGGGGGCGAUGGCCGAGUAGAGCGACUUGGUGGUGAACAGGCCCGCCGGCUCUAGCCGCCAGCGGGUGCGGUCUGGUCUGUCAUCCACCAGUGGCUCAUGCAGCGCGACGCAGUCAAGUAACUCACGCCAGGCGGCGGAUUCCGCCGGCCCGAACGGUCGACGAAAGGCCAGACGCCCCAGAUCAAGAAGGGCCCUAUUGACCGAAAUCAUGGGGUCAACGGAGAUAGAAAAGAGGGAGGGGAAGCGGGCCGCGAAGGGGGAGUCACCGGCCCAACGAUCAUACCAGAAGAGAGUCGAGAGGCCGGAGCCAACCGAGAUGGAGGUCCCAAUGCGGAGUACCGGGAGGAGCUGAACAAUGGACUGCCAGAACUGGGAGCCGCCCGAUCUCUGGCAGAAGGCAAGGGGUUGACCCCGAAGGUAUUUGUUCCGGAUAAUGUCCAGCCAGAGGCCGCCAUGACCCUGGGCAAUGCGCCAGAGCCAGCGGGAGAGGAGCGCAAUGUUCAUUCGCUUAGAGCACAUGAUGCCCAGGCCCCCUUGCUCCCGGGGCUUGCAGAUGUCCGGCCAGCUGACCAUGUGGUACUUCUGCUUAUCAUGCUCGCCAGCCCAGUAGAAGCGAGACUGGAUCUUGGCGAUCUCCUUAUGUAGGGACUCAUGGAGGCUAUAGAAGCUCAUAAGGAACAACAAAAGGCUAGAAAGGGAGGAGUUGAUGAGAAUAGUUCGGGCCGCCUUCGAGAGCCAUCUCCCCUGUCAGGGCUCACACUGGGACUGGAGCCUAGAGAUAGCGGGCCUCAGGUCCGCAGCAGAGAGACGCGAGUUGCUAAUGGGGGUCCCCAGGUAGGAGGUGGGGAAAGAGCCCAAGCGGCAAUUAAGCCGAUUGGCGAUGGCCAGAGACUCAGAAGGGGAGUAUCCCAAAACCAUGACGUCGCUCUUAUCAAAGUUGAUCUUGAGACCCGACAUCUGUUGGAAGCAAAGAAGGAGGAACUUGAGGUUGGCGAUGUCCAUCUCCGAGCCUUCGACCAUGAUGAUCGUGUCGUCAGCAUACUGAAGGAUGGAGAUCCCGGAUCCCCCAGAGAGAUGUGGGGUAAUCCCACUAAUGUGGCCAGCAGCCUUAGCCUUAUCAAGAAUGGCAGCCAAGGCGUCCACCACCAUAUUGAAGAGGAACGGAGAGAAGGGGUCACCCUGGCGAACCCCACACAUGGUGGGGAAGAAGGGGCCAGCCUCGCCGUUGAUGUUAACCGCCGUGCGACCACAAGAGACCAGCUGCAUGACUCUAGUGAUCCAGCAAUCGUCAAAGCCCUUCUGAAGAAGGACUUCUCUGAGGAAGGGCCAGCUGACCGAGUCAUAGGCUUUGUGGAAGUCGAUCUUCAAAAAAACCGCCCUAAGGCGUUUGGUCCGGACCUCGUGGAGGACCUCGUGGAGAACCAGAACACCAUCCAGGAUAUAUCGCCCUCUAAUGAAGGCCGACUGGUUAGGAUGAGUGAUCCGGUCAGCAAGCAGGGUCACCCUAUUGGCGUACCCUUUGGCCAGGAUCCUGAAAAUCACAUUAAUGACAGUGAUCGGCCGGAACUGGCGGAUGUCGGACGCCCCAGGGACCUUGAGGAUGAGAAAAAUGAUCCCAUAGUUGAGGCGACCUAGGUCGAUAGUACCCACAAAGAAUUCUUCAAAAAUGGCCAUGACCUCUGGUUUAAUCACGUUCCAGAAGGUCUGGAAGAAGACAACAGGGAGGCCAUCAGGGCCAGGGGCCGAAGCAGCAUUCAUACCCUUGAUUGCCUCCCAAACCUCCUGUUCGGAGAAGGGAGCCGUCAGGGCUGAGUUCUCCGCCCUGGAGACUAACCGAGAACCGGUCCAACAAUCGUAGGCGAGGGAAAUGCCGCUCCGAGGAGCGGCAGAGAAAAGGGAUCUAUAGAAAUCGUCGACAUGAGACCGGAUGUCGCGAGGGUCCUGGAGGAGAGUGUCCCCAUCCCAAAGGAGGGGGAUGGUGUUGCGUCUACGGCGACCGUUGGCGAUUGCCUGGAAGUAGGCGGUAUUCGCAUCACCCUUCAGGACCCACUUCUGGGCGCCUCGAAUGCGCCAAUAGGCCUCCUCGUCGGAGUAGAUCACGGAGAGCUGGUCCUCGAGGUCAUACCGGGCGAGCCACUCAUCCGGAGACAGACCCACCAAGUCGGCCCGGAGAUCAAGAGCCUGAAUGGCGGAAAGUAGAGCCUUCUUGCGCUCUCUGGCAUCGCGCCCGAGGUUAGCGCCCCAUCCCUUCAUGAACUGUCUACCACGUUUCGCACAGAAGUGCCACGUGUCAAUCGCCGAGGGAGGACGGGGGUGGGGGUGGGCCCGGGCCUCAACCCACCGGGCGCACACGGCGUCAGUGAAGCCAGCCUGGGAAAUCCAGAAGGUCUCAAAGCGGAACCGAGGCGGGAUCGGCGGACGCUCGUCCGCGGAAGAGAGAAGGGGGGGACAUGGUCCGAGCCAAUCCUAGUGAUGGCGCGGAGGGAGGAGAGGGGACAGCGGAGGUCCCAAUCCAGGGACACAAGGACCCUGUCCAAUACGGACUGGGUCGGGGAUGAUUGCCGAUUGGUCCAGGUGAACCGUGCACCAAUCCUAUCAAUCUCCCUAAGGGCGAGGUCGGGAUGAAGUCAUUAAACAUCUGCAUCCUGGCGAAGCAGACAUUGCCGUUGUUCUUGUCCUCCGCCACGGGCAGCAGGUUAAAGUCGCCACCCACCACCACGGGGAGGGAGGCGGCCGAUAUCUUUAGGUGCAGCUCUGCGAGGAAGGCCGCCGACCUACUAUGGUCAGCUGGGCCGUAGACAAUAAUGAUCUCCCACUUGAAGUUGAGGGAUCGCUCGAAAAGCUCCAUGCUGACGAAGAAUUCUCCUCGGUCCAUGCUUCCCACCUCGAAUGUGGCAUCCUUCACGCCUAAAAGGAUGCCACCCGAGUGGCCUGAGCUCCCACUAGAAGGGAGCCAGUGCCACGCAAAGAGGUGGGAGCUCAAACGAUCGAGCUCGGGGAGCGAGAAUUCGUGACGCAUGGUCUCCUGGAUCGCAAUGAUUUCGAUGUGCUCCUCGCGCAUGUACUCCACCAGAUGGCGGCGACGACCAUCAUGGCCAAAGCCGCGGAUGUUCCAGAAGAGGGCCCGCAUUAUGGGGCCAUCGGGGGGCUGCUUGACCCCAGGACACGGGAGGCGCUUUGCGCGCGAAGAGCGGCAGUGCGGGAGCGGGUACGGCCACGGAUCUCACCCGGAGGUUGGGGCGCCGGAAGCCGUGGCCUGGAAGUAGAGGGAGGGACCCCGUCCGCAGGAGCGUCCGGGGGGGAAAGGAGAGCAGCACGGGCCUCGGCAAGUUUCCCCUCAAGGAUCUCGCGCGCCCGGAUGGCAGCUAUCUGAACUAAAGGGGGGCCAACCUCCCCCCUGAAAAUGAUAGCAGAGUCGAAGGCCACCUUGGCAAGGUUGCCAAGGGGGAUAGCUUCUAGAGCAGAAAAGGAGCAAGACGAAGCAGAGGGGGGGACGGGGGGCGUACCUGGCUCCAAGUUACGAGCAACCGCGCGGAUCUCGGCCCGCUCGCGGAUGGGCAGAGCCGGGGAGCCCUCCUGGUGGGCCGCAUCCAGCCGCGCACUCCGGCGAGAGGCCACCACCGGGGAGGAGGUCGACCUGCCGCGACGGGAGUAUGCUGCUGAGCGGGAGGGAGGAGGCUGGGCCGCCAUCGGAGUGAGCACACGAGUCUCCCCCUCCCGCAAAACCGGCGAAGUUGGAGACGCCAGCUGAGCAGGUCCGGCGCAGCCGGAGAGGAGAGGCUCAGACAGCGGCGGUCCUGCCGGUGGUGGAGGAGGUGGUGGCGACGUGGUGCGGGGGGCGAUGGUGUCGGGGCUGGGACGCCCAGCAGGAGGGGGGGAGCGGCCUGGGCAUCCACCCUCUGAGGGGGGGGGACGGGUCUGGUGGAGCGCAGGCGGCCGGUGAGGGGGGGGGAGCCCUCGGAGAAGCCACCCCCUCCACAGGCGCCGCCGUCUCCACAGGGGUGGAGGAGUCGUCGCGGAGCAUGUCCGUCGAGGCCGUCCCAGUGGCAGGGGACAACCUGCGAGAGCGCGGGGAGGAGGCAGGGUAGACCACCAUGCCCACACUGGAGAUGUCACUCCCCUCGGAGGAGGAGACCGGCGCGAGAGCGGAGUCAGCCAGCAGAGGAAGGAGGGAGGCCUUACGGCCCUGGCCCCCCCGGUCGGCGGGGGGGGGCGAGGGGGAAGGGGAGCGGGAGUCCUCAGACGCCCCCUCCUCAUCCGAGCGGCGGGAGCGGUGUCGCCCGUGGUAGUCCUCACCAGCCCCCGGGUUGCCACCGGGGAGGCCAGCGUCGAAGGAGCGGGGGCGCCCGAUGUGGUUGGGGGCUCGGGGGCGAUCCUGAGGUCAAAGCCCUGGUCGUUGAAGAAGACACGGACAGAGGCGCGAAGCUUGGAGGAGUCGAGGCACUUAACCUUGACCCGAACCUCCUCCUCCUUGCGGAGUGAGAGCUCGUCCACGGGCACCACCUUGCCCAGGAGACGGGACAUCUGGCGGAUGACGAGCUCAGACCGCGCAACAUCAGGCAGGCCGGAGAUGAGGAUCCAGGCGGUGUCGAGGACGGCCACAGCCUGAGCGUCGAGAAUGGGCUCGGAGAUCUCGACCACCAACUGGUUGAGGGCGAGGGUGAUCCGGCCACUACGCGUCGCGUAGCCGUAGCUGACAGCGUCGGGUAAGACGACAGAGAAGAUGUGGCUGGCGGUAGGAGUGACCACCCAGUCCCACUGGUGUCGGUAGAGGUGGUUGAGCUCUGCCUCGAUCAUCUCCGGGGAUGCCACGCCAUCAACGACAGUGACAAUCGCCUGGAGGGAGGGAGACGGCGGAGGAGCAUCCAGGACCUCGAGGUGGAAGAAGCCCAGCCCCUCAAUCCCGUGUCCAUACAUCAUGAGCUCGGAAACCACCGGUCUAUCCGGGCACAGGAUGGCAGGGUGGCCGGGGUCCUUGCAGAGGUAGCAGCACUGGGGGUUGGCGCAGGUGACCUGAGAGUGACCCCUCACCCCACAGUUGAAGCAGGGGGGGCGAGGAAGGCCGGAGAUGGGGCCCGGCGUGUGAGUGGAGCCAUGGCCCGCACCUGAAAUUUUACACGCAGUUAGAAAAGUUCAUCACAAAAAAAUUCAGUUUUUUUUUGAAUAUUUUUUGAAUAUUACUGUUCAUGCGGGAGCAUGUGAGCUCGGGAUCAAAUAUUUCAUGUCCUAAAAUCAACAUGCAUCGUAACAAACCCAUAAACAGACCCAUCAACGACACUUAUUUUGGAAAGAAGGAAGUAUUAAGAUGCCGGGAAUAGGUUUCUUCUUCUUUUUGUCACCUCCGUGCGAUUGGUUUGUAACGCACUCUUCAAUCUUCAUAAUUAAUGAAUGUGAUAAAUCUUUUAUCAAUUUUUUUCAAAACAAACGAAAAACACUGCCGUUGAGCUGAAGCUUGUAAAGGGGUGAUGUACGUAGUAGUGAUACUUAUAGGGUUUAGAUAAGGUCUACGACGACCUUUAAUUUGAGUGUCUCGUGAGCAGGUGAAACUAUUGUUCCAAAUAUAUGGCCGCCGCUUCUUUGUAUCUUUUCUUCUUUUUGAGUUGGGCCGCUUCUGGUGUCUGAUAGGCUGACAGUACAGCACGCGCGCUCAUACUGUUCAAACUUUAAGCAGAAUGCCAUCUGAUGCGACAUCUCCAAUCCACUCUCAAGAUUCAAAACACUAUCCGCACGAAUGGAUAUGGUAGGGUAGGCGAAUGCAAUCCUAACACAAUGCGUUUGCCUAGCUACAUGUCAUCUUCUGAGAGGAGCAGAGAAGCGCGGCUAGUAAAUCCAUGGUGAGAUGAGCAAAUGCGCGCGCAUGAACACCAAAUCGAUCAACACCAUCAGCCAAGAGACAAGCAGUGUAGUGCAGCGAAUGCUCCUUCAGUGGACUUUUCCGGUUCCAUUAUGAUUGAUUGGUAAAUAAGCACAACUUCACCAAAAGAACAAAAUGAACACUACUGGUAAGUACUUACUACUCACUUACUAUAACUGCGUACGUAUAUAUCCUAGUGAUUAGGCUAGUAAUAACAUUUGGUCAGGGGGCAAAAUUUGCGCGCACACAUCUGCACGCCGGAUACAUACAUACUAACAUACACACACUGAAGAAGUAGAAGGUGGAUCAGCAGAUGGUCGCUGCUGCCGGAGCAUAGAGGUAAAGAGGGUUGAGAGCUUCUUGUAGCUAGCUAGCUGGAU
rnacentral:lncRNA from 1 species